CAUGCAAGUCGAACGAGCGAGAGAGAGCUUGCUUUCUCGAGCGAGUGGCGAACGGGUGAGUAACGCGUGAGGAAUCUGCCUCAAAGAGGGGGACAACAGUUGGAAACGACUGCUAAUACCGCAUAAGCCCACGGUGCCGCAUGGCACAGAGGGAAAAGGAGUAAUCCGCUUUGAGAUGGCCUCGCGUCCGAUUAGCUAGUUGGUGAGGUAACGGCCCACCAAGGCGACGAUCGGUAGCCGGACUGAGAGGUUGAACGGCCACAUUGGGACUGAGACACGGCCCAGACUCCUACGGGAGGCAGCAGUGGGGAAUAUUGCACAAUGGGGGAAACCCUGAUGCAGCGACGCCGCGUGGAGGAAGAAGGUCUUCGGAUUGUAAACUCCUGUUGUUGGGGAAGAUAAUGACGGUACCCAACAAGGAAGUGACGGCUAACUACGUGCCAGCAGCCGCGGUAAAACGUAGGUCACAAGCGUUGUCCGGAAUUACUGGGUGUAAAGGGAGCGCAGGCGGGAAGACAAGUUGGAAGUGAAAUCUAUGGGCUCAACCCAUAAACUGCUUUCAAAACUGUUUUUCUUGAGUAGUGCAGAGGUAGGCGGAAUUCCCGGUGUAGCGGUGGAAUGC
rnacentral:rRNA from 1 species